ACUUUUGGAGAAGUAUUGCACAACACACCGAUCCAUGCGGGCCAUGUCAAAGUACCACCAGUUAUUGCUUUGGAACCAAAUGCACCGUUGUCUAUACCAGACAACGAUGCAGAUAUGAAGUAUUUGGGCGAAGCAAUUGGUAGUUACGUGGCAUGAUCCAAACAUCUUGUUGCCCUUGAUAAGAUUCAGACAAAAUCUAAAGGAAAUGAUAAGAAGAUUCCCAGAAACAAGUCAGUCACAUCGCCGGAAAAGAUUCAAUCCAAUAAACCACCCGCACAGCAAACCAGCUGCCAGAAUAAACCAGUUGCCGCACCACAACUGGAUGUUCGUGGUAAAAAUAAAGCCGACAAACUUCAAAAAUUGGAGGGUAAUAAAGCUGGCAAACUUCAAAAGCCGGAGGGUAAUAAAGCUGCCAAAGUUGCUGCUCAAAAACUAGAUCGGGAAAAAUCAGUUGCUGCUCAUGCUCCUAAAAUAAGUCAACCAUGGCUUGCUCGAUAUGGGUUGUGUCUUGAUAUGGGUAGCAACAAUGAUUCACGCAUCAUAAGCAUAGAUAAAGCUAUAUUCGGAGAUGAGUAUGAAGAACUACUUGAAAAAGAACACAUAUACGAACUUCUCAGCCAUAAGGAGUUGAGUGCUACUGUC